AGCUCAAUUGGUAGAACAUGGCGCUUGCAACACCAGGGUUGUGGGUUCGAUUCCCAC
rnacentral:tRNA from 1 species